UUAAGCCCACCAAGAGGUCUUUGGCAAGGUGAUAACACUAUCCGCACCACCACCUCAAACCUUACUUCUACUACUAAAUUUACACUCUUUAACGACAAUUACGAUAUAGCAAGUUCUAGACAUGUGUUGGGUGAAGAAACAAGGAAAACUGGUACAGCAAUCAUGAACCCCAACUUGUUUUUAGGGUUUUGGUUAUUCAAUUUAAUAGCAUUUGGGCUUCCAGUUCUUCUAACCGUUUUGUUUUUAUCCAAUGUACCUAGUAUUCUUCUCAUCCCGCUUUAUUAUCUAUCCGUCUCCUACUUCAACUGCAUGACAAUAAUAUCUCCUUCCUCGUUUUGGGCAAGCAUCAACUAUGUUAUCAUGUGGGCAGCCAUUGGUCUCCCGUUGCUCUUAGUUGUUAGAAGCGUAUGGUUAUGGAAGCAGCCAAAGUACAGGGAAAUCAGACAAUUACGCAGACUUUUCCGCAAGUAAAAUAAUGUUGGAACCAUUCAACGGUUGCGAAUGUCAAUGUUGUUUAUAUGUUCUCUUACGUUAUGUACUUUUUUCCAUUUUCGGUAAAAAAUUUAUGUAAUUGUUUUGGAUAAAUUUAAUAAAUAAGAUUACUUUUUCCAACAAUAUCUUUGUCCUUUGCAACAGAAAAAAAAAACAUAGAAAAACCAACCAUCCUAUUUUAUAAUUUAAAAGAAUAUUUUCCUUUUUGUAAAAAGAGAUAUUUUCGAAGUAUUGUUAAUUCAAAAUUAACAAAUUUUUUAAUAAAUCGAUAUUAUUCUCUAAAUAUUUUCUAAAAAAAAUACAAAUUCAUAAACAACAGCUAUAUUCUUUUUCGUUGUGAUUUCGGCAAUAUAAGGCCGAAUUAAAUUUGUAAAAAGGGGUUACGAAGAUUGUAUCAAGAAACGAUUAGAAGAAUAUAAAAAAAAACAACACAGAGAAAAAUAGCAAUUUGGAGAGGUGAUUUUCUCUUUGGGAUUUUCUUUUCAUUUUUUCCUUUUGAUUUACUGUUUUUUGCAUAAAACAAAUAGAAAAGAAAAGGAGGAACCAUACCUGGGAGGCGUGCUUGCGAAGCCCUUCCUUGUUCUGUGCAGGGUGCAGAAUGAAGGAGUAGAGGGCUUUUGGGAAGAAGCGGCGCACGCAGGAGAGGAAUAACCUAGGGGUUUUUUUUUUUUUUAAAACCUUUAAAUGGCUUUUAUGCAGCAUACAACACGGCACCGUUUGGAGCCUGAUCAGUGGUUUCAAAACGGUGCCGUAUAGGCCUGUACCCAUGCGCGACCCGAUCCGACCCUGAGAGGAUCCGCGCGUUUUGUAAAUGGUUUAUUUUCUCGUUUGAUCCUUCUUGUUUUUCAAAAUGUGUUUAAUUAUUUUUUUCUUUUUAAAUUCAAUCACAAGUUUUAUUUCUGUUCUAAUUUAAUCCCCUAUCUGUUAUUAGUUAUUUAUUAUUAAUUAUUUUUACUAUUAUUUUUAUUAUUGUAUAAUAUCAUUUUUAUGGUGUUAUUAUUACCAUUACAACCAUAUUUAUGCAUACAUUUUUUUUGAAAUAUACGUACAUUUUUUUUAUAAUUUAUAUAUGUACAUACGUUUUUUAUAUUACACAAUUUAUAUACGUAUCUUUAUAUAUAUUUAAAUACAUAUUACUUUAAUUUUCAUAAAUAUAUAUAUACAUUUACAUUUUAUAAUACAUAUACAUUUUCCAAACUUUAUAGUCCAUACGUAUAUACAUUCAUUUUCUAUAAUAUACAUAUACGUACAUUUUUUGAAAUUAUUAUAAAUAUUUUUUUUUGCAUAUUUCAUUUUUUAUAUACAUAUACUUAUAUAUACAUAUUUUAAUACAUGCAUAUACAUAUUUUCAUAGUUUACUUAUAUAUUAUACUUAUACAUUUUUUAUAUUUUGUAAAUAUAAGCCGACCGAGAGGUCUUUGGCAAGGUGAUAACACUAGUAACCCCACCACCACCUCAAACCUUACUACUACCACUAAAUUUAAACUCUUUAACGACAAUUACGCUGAAAAACUUUCUAAACAUGUGUUGGGUGAAGAAACAAUGAAACCUGGUACAGCAAUCAUGAAUCCCAACUUGUUUUUAGGGUUUUGGUUAUUCAAUUUUAUAGCAUUUGGGCUUCCGGUUCUUCUAACCGUUUUCCUUUUAUACGAUGUAGCUCGUAUUCUUCUUCUCCCGCUUUAUUUUCUAUCCGUCUCCUACUUUAACUGCAUGACAAUAAUAUCUCCGUCCAUGUUUUGGGCAAACCUCAACUUUGUUGUCAUGUGGACAGCCAUUAUUCUCCCGUCUGUCUUAGUUUUUGGAGGCGUAUGGUUAUGUAUGCUGCCAAAGCACCGGGAAAUCAGACAAAUACGCAGACGUGUCCGCAAUGACAAUAAUAUCGGAAUAAUUCAGUACUUGCGAAUGUCAGUCUAACUUAUAUAUUAUAUUUAUGUACCCUUUUCCAUUUUCUCUGUAUUAAUAUCUUUUCUUUUUGAAAAAAGAAAAAACACUAUGUAAUUGCUUUGGAUAAAUUUAAUAAAAACAGAUAUACCUAGAGAUGAUUUGUGGAGGAAGGCAAAUGGGAGAGAGAUCAGACAACAUACAUAGAAUAUGGAAAGAAGAUGUGUUGAAGGAAAUACGGGACCGCAUGUAGGGAAGAAUGCAAGUGAGAUUAUGGCAAAUAAUAAACAACAUGAAGAAAAUGACCCAAUCAAGUUGGACGAGAGGGUGGAAGAUUUAUGAAUUUCCAGAACAAAGUAGUAGAGGGAGCCAUUGAUGGAGAGAACUUGAAGUGGCUUGAAAAAUGUAUUGUGGGUAGAAUGAGAAACAAUGCUACUGUGGGGUUAUGGGGUGAUACUGGAAUUUAUAAAAUUGGAGUCAAAAGAUUAUCGGAUAAUGAUUUGUAUGAAUUGGAAGCCAAUGAAUGGGGAGAUGUUUUGUAAGUGUUCAGAAAGUUGAACGGUGGACCACAAAGAUGAAAGAUUAAGGUGGUUAUCCUGUUACGAGAUUCCAAUACAUGCUUGGUCUUCGAGGAGGAAGUAGUUAAACAACUUGCUGGCUUGCUGCUAUUGAAUAUUAUAAUUGGUUUGAUUUAUUAUUUUUGGUACAAACAAUCAAGACUCAAACAGUCAAUCGACUGUCGGAUAGAGCACGUGCAACCAACCUAACAUAUGAGAAUAUAUCCAGAAGAAGAAACUUAUCCAAGUCCAACCCCCCACAAGUUGCCAAUCGGCUCAUCCCAUUGACCUUUCCACACCUUCGAAUUGAUUGGUGCAAUGCGAGGUCCAAUAUUGGAAGGAGAAUGGAAUCUAAACCGUGGGACCACACUUAAGCCGGCGUCCUAAAUGACUAGAUGCGUGGAAGACGGUGGGUAUUCUUUCACCCAAUAACAUCACUACAUAUACACAAACCAUGUCUGCCCAUCUUGUGGGCUACUUGUGAUAAAACAGGAAAACAAUGAAAAAUAAUAAUAUAAAGAAGAGAAACAAAAUCCACACCUAAUAUAAUUUUUCCUAAAUACAAGAAAACAAGUUUUGGGAUAAAAAAUCAUAUCCAAGAUUAAAGGAUUCAAUUCAUUUAGACUUGAAUGUUAAUUGAAUGAUUAAACAUUCAAAUCUCGUUAAAUUCAUGAACAGCUUUUCAUUAGAUAGAAUAUUCUCUAUUUCUUAAAUUUAAUUCUUUUAUAUUAAGAUCUGUUUGAGACAUUAAAAAUUGGUUUAAUUUACCAAAAUAAUAAUAAUGAGGCCCAUGGUUUUGGAAUCUUUUCUAUGUCACAGCUAUGGCGAUGGGGUCAAGACACAACUGUCCUUUUUUGAGGUCAAAUAAAUUGAUUAAAAAUAUCCACCAAAAUGAUAAGAAUGUACAUAAUUCAUCUUAUUUUUAAACUGAUAUUCCUAAGUAUAUUAUAUAUUUUUAAUACUGAUAUUUCUUAAUAAAUUUGUUUCUAAAUUAAAUAUUUUUUUUCAAAAUCAUCUUAAAGUUUUUGAAACUUAUGUUUGUUUAAAUAUUAAAAUAAUUUUUAAUACACUGCUUGUGGAAAAAGUUUGACAAAAUAUAAUAAAAUAUCAAAAAAAAGACGCAUACCAAUACACAAAAUAUAUUAUCUAUUUUAUAACAUAUUAUUUAAAAUAAAUAUUUUAUUUUCUAAAAGUAAUUUUUUACCGCAAUACCAAAAAUAUAAAUUUUAGAGUAAAAUUUCUGAAAGCGAAGCUGGUCAACUUGCCUUGAAACAGAUGGCGAAAAUGAGUCCAAAUUAUAUCGGAGCGAGAAACAGGGAGUGGGAUUCAAGAUUUUGACGUACUGUAUAGGCGGCCACCGAUUUAUAUCCCUCGUCAUAUAUAGAUAUAUUAAUCAUUUUUUAAAAUUUUCGAUAUUUAUAUUCAAUAUAAAUCUACCCUUGACGGAUUAAUUAGUUUAGUGUAAGCUUGGUUUAAAUCAGUUGAGGUUGCAAAUAAGGAUAGUCAGUUUGCAACUCUCCUAAUAUUUUCAUCAUUUAAAGAAAGAAACAAAAGCAUGGAUCCAAGCUUGAGAGAAGUAGCUGGAACAGGAGAUACUGAUGCCUUGUACGCUCUAAUUCGAAAGGAUCCGUACAUGUUGGAGCAUAUUGAUCAGAUUCCUUUCAUCGAUACUCCACUUCACAUAGCAGCAAAUGAAGGUCAAAUUAAGUUUGCAAUGGAGAUGAUCAACUUGAAGCCUUCGUUUGGUCGGAAGCUAAACCAAGACGGGUUUAGCCUGUUAGAAAUCAAACCCACUCCAAGCAUAAUCUAGAAGCAUGAGACGUGGAGCAAUUUUGUGCUAUGCAAAGUGCUGAAAUUUUAGCCAUACAAAGUGCUCCAUUAUUGAGAUGUUUUGUGGCUGGAAAUUAAGUGGAUUAAUAGCCACAUUUGUUGUCACUUUAUCAGCCUAUAAAUAGAGGCUUGAACUUGUGUUGUAAUGAAGAAAAAUGAGAAGAAAAAAGAAAUAAGAGAAGCAACGUGAGUGAGAGUGAGAAGGUUAGCAAACCUUGAGUGAGUUAAAAUCUAGCAGCAGCUAGACUAUCUAGUCAUUGAGAAAAUAUUUGUAAUCUUCGUAUUGUAAUAUAUUGAGUGUGUAAUAAAAAGUAAAUUUUCGGCCCAUCACGUUUCCAACAAGUGGCAUCAGAGCUACGGUUCGGAGCUUGGUUCGGAGUUCGGUUCGUGUCCGGUUCGUGUCCAGUUCGGAGUACCUUUGGUGUUCAUCUAACAAGUCGAUAUGGGCGACGUAAUUCAGCUACAAGUUCCACAAUUGACGAAGACAAAUUAUGGAAAUUGGAGCAUUCGAAUGAAGGCUUUGCUCGGUUCGCAAGAUUGUUGGGAGAUCGUUGAAAAAGGAUACAUCGAGCCCGGAGAUGCCGCUACAGAAGCAGCUUUAUCAAAUGACGCUAAGAAGGCGUUACGAGAAGCACGAAAGAAGGAUCAAAAGGCCUUGAAUAGUAUCUUUCAAGGAAUGGAUGAAUCAACCUUCGAGAAAAUAUCAGAUGUGAAGAACGCGAAGAAUGCAUGGGAGAUUUUGCAAAAAUCAUUUCAAGGUGUAGAAAAAGCUAAAAAGGUACGCCUUCAGUCACUUAGAGCUGAAUUUGAAAUGUUAAAAAUGAAGAGCUCCGAGAAUAUCGAUGACUAUGCCAAUCGUGUAAAAUCGGUGGUAAAUGAAAUGAAACGAAAUGGAGAAACUCUUGACGAGGUAAGAGUGAUGGAGAAAAUUCUACGGUCACUCACACGCAAAUUCGAGUACGUAGUCGUUGCCAUCGAAGAAUCAAAAGAUUUGUCAAAGAUGUCGCUCGAAGAACUUGUGGGUUCUCUGCAAGCCCAUGAGCAAAAGAUGAAGCUAAAUGAAGAUAGUGAAAAUCUUGAUCAAGCCUUGCAUAGCAAGUUGUCCGUCGACGACGGAGAAACAAGUAAUAACUUUAACCAAGGAAGAGGAAACCGCAGAGGAUACCGUGGAGGCUACCGUGGUGGAAACAGAGGAGGAAGAGGAUCACGAGGACAUGGAAAUCAAUCAUAUGGGAGAUAUCAAGAAAAUAAAGAUUAUCAAACAUCCAACCGUGGACGUGGAUCUAGAGGUCGUGGCCGAGGCAGAUUUCAAGAAAAUAAAUCUCAGGUACAAUGCUACAACUGUAACAAGUAUGGACAUUUCAGUUACGAGUGCAGAUCAACACACAAAGUGGAUGAAAGAAACCAUGUAGCAGUCGCAGCAGAAGGCAACGAAAAAGUGGAAUCAAGUGUCUUUCUCACUUACGGAGAAAAUGAAGAUCGCAAGAGAAGUGUGUGGUAUCUCGACAACGGUGCAAGCAACCACAUGUGUGGAAGAAAGGAGCUGUUCACAGAAUUAGAUGAAACAGUUCAUGGACAAAUAACUUUUGGAGACAACUCACAUGCAGAAAUCAAAGGAAAGGGCAAGGUUGUUAUAACACAAAGGAAUGGAGAGAAGAAGUACAUCUCAGACGUUUACUACGUACCAGCUUUGAAGAGCAACCUGAUCAGUCUUGGUCAACUCCUAGAAAAAGGAUAUGAAGUUCAUAUGAAAGACCGCUCACUCGCCAUCAGGAACAAAAGUGGAGAAUUAGUUGUUCGAGUUGAUAUGACGCGAAAUCGUCUUUUCACCCUCGACAUCGAGUCUGGAGAAGUAAAAUGCAUGAAGACGGAUCUGAAGAAUGAAUCAUGGUUGUGGCACUUAAGGUACGGACAUCUCGGAUUUUCUGGCUUGAAGCUGUUGUCGAAGACAAAUAUGGUGAAUGGAUUACCAAGUAUUAAUCAUCCAGAUCAACUGUGUGAAGCCUGUGUCAAAGGAAAGCAGCAUAGGCAGAAAUUUGAAGUAGGAAAAUCUCGAAGAGCUAGAAGACCAUUGGAAAUUGUACACACCGACAUAUCUGGUCCGUACGACAUUGAAUCACUCGGUGGAAACAGGUACUACCUAACUUUUAUUGAUGAUUAUAGCAGAAAAUGUUGGGUUUAUUUUCUCAAAGCAAAAUCGGAAGCCCUAGAAAAAUUCAAGGAGUUCAAAGCAAUGGUGGAAAAACAGAGUGGUCGAUAUUUGAAGAUACUCAGAUCCGAUAGAGGAGGCGAGUAUACUGCAAAGCUUUAUGAAAGUUUCUGCAAGGAUCAUAGAAUCAUUCAUUAGUUAACAGUCAGACGCACUCCACAACAAAACGGAGUUGCAGAAAGGAAGAAUCGGACAAUUCUGGAUAUGCCAAGAAGCAUGAUAAAAGGUAAACACCUUCCGAGAACUUUCUGGGCUGAAGCCGUUGAAUGCGCAGUUUAUCUGUUGAAUCAAUGUCCAACAAAAAGUGUAAGACACAAGACACCAGAAGAAGCAUGGAGCGGUCACAAGCCAAGAGUUGGACACCUCAAAAUUUUUGGAUGCAUUGCAUAUGCACACGUUCCUGAGCAACAGAGGAAAAAGCUUGACGAUAGAGGAGAGAAGUGUAUCUUUAUAGGCUAUGACAAAAGAAGUAAGGCCUACAGACUUUAUAAUCCUCUUACUAAGAAAUUGAUUAUCUCAAGAGAUGUCGAGUUCGAUGAAGCGGAUUACUGGAGAUGGAGUGAAGAAGAAAAGAAAGUGGAAGGAUUAUUUUUCAACGAAGACGACAAUAACCAAGAAGAACAAGGCGAUGAUCAAAGUCCUGGUACAACAGCCCCUUCGUCACCAACCAGCAGCAGCGGAAGCAGCAGCUCAGAUGAAGCACCCACAAGAACACGGAGUCUCAACGACAUCUACAAUUCUAUGGAACCUGUAGAGACGCAGUUCGAUUAUUCACUAUUCUGUCUAAUGACAGAAUGUGAUCCAGUGACGUACGAAGAAGCAAUUGAAAACAAUAAAUGGAAGAAGGCCAUGGACGAGGAGAUUGCUGCAAUAAGAAGGAAUGACACGUGGGAGCUAACAAGUCUGCCAGAAGGACAUAGCCCGAUUGGUGUCAAGUGGGUGUACAAGACGAAGACCAACAAAGAAGGAAAAGUAGAGAAAUACAAGGCAAGAGUAGUCGCCAAAGGCUACAAGCAAAGACAAGGAGUGGACUAUGAUGAAAUAUUUGCUCCAGUCGCAAGAAUAGACACAAUUAGGCUUCUCAUAGCGGUCGCAGCACAAUACAAAUGGAAAAUCUAUCAGAUGGACGUCAAGUCUGCAUUCCUGAAUGGCUACUUGGAGGAGGAAGUCUACAUAGAACAACCACCUGGAUAUAGCAUACAAGGAAAGGAGGACAAAGUCUACCGAUUGAAGAAAGCUUUGUAUGGAUUGAAGCAAGCCCCAAGAGCAUGGAACACAAGGAUCGACGAGUACUUCCGAAGAAAUGGAUUCAUCAAAAGCCCGCACGAGCACACCCUGUACACAAAGAAGAAUGGAUAUGGAGAUAUCAUGAUCGUAUGCCUAUAUGUGGAUGACAUGAUCUUCACCGGAAACAAUCCAGGUAUGUCUGAUGAUUUCAAGAAAGCUAUGACUAAAGAAUUUGAAAUGACAGAUAUCGGUGAGAUGUCAUACUUUCUUGGAGUCGAGGUGAAACAAAUGCAAGAUGGAAUUUUUGUCUCUCAAAAGAAGUAUGCGGAGCAGAUUUUGAACAAGUUCAAAAUGAAGGAUUGCAAGCCAGUAGUCACGCCAGCUGAUCCAGGGAUGAAGCUAAGUGUUGAUUCGACAAGGGAGUCGAUAAAUCCGACGUUGUUUAAAAGUCUCGUUGGAAGUUUAAGGUAUUUGACAAUCACACGACCAGAUAUUACAUAUGCAGUAGGAUUGGUGAGCAGAUUCAUGGAGAAGCCAAAGCAAGACCACUUAAUUGCCGCAAAAAGAAUUUUGAGAUAUAUCAAAGGUACGAUGAACCAUGGUUUAUUCUAUACCCACUCACAAGAUUCAAAAUUAGUUGGCUACUCAGAUAGCGAUUAUGGGGGAGACUUGGAUGAUCGGAAAAGCACUUCCGGAUAUGCAUUCCACAUCAGUUCCGCAGUUUUUUCAUGGUCGUCAAAGAAGCAACAAACAAUUGCUCUCUCAACAUGUGAAGCAGAGUAUAUGGCCGCAGCAACUUGUACAUGCCAAGCAAUGUGGUUGAAGAAUAUUUUGGGAGAAAUAGGUGUUUCAAAUGAAGGUCCAAUUACCAUCUACGUUGACAACAAAUCCGCUAUAUCACUUGCCAAGAAUCCGGUGUCGCACAGCCGAAGCAAGCACAUCGAUACGAAGUAUCAUUUUAUCCGAGAGCAAGUGAAAAACAAAAACGUGGAGUUGGUCCAUUGCAGGACAGAAGAUCAACUGGCAGAUAUUUUCACAAAGCCGUUGAAAGUGGAGACAUUCAACAAAUUCAAAGAGAAGCUCAGUAUGAAAGUUGGGUUUGAGGGGGAGUGUUAGAAAUCAAACCCACUCCAAGCAUAAUCUAGAAGCAUGAGACGUGGAGCAAUUUUGUGCCAUGCAAAGUGCUGAAAUUUUAGCCAUACAAAGUGCUCCAUUAUUGAGAUGUUUUGUGGCUGGAAAUUAAGUGGAUUAAUAGCCACAUUUGUUGUCACUUUAUCAGCCUAUAAAUAGAGGCUUGAACUUGUGUUGUAAUGAAGAAAAAUGAGAAGAAAAAAGAAAUAAGAGAAGCAACGUGAGUGAGAGUGAGAAGGUUAGCAAACCUUGAGUGAGUUAAAAUCUAGCAGCAGCUAGACUAUCUAGUCAUUGAGAAAAUAUUUGUAAUCUUCGUAUUGUAAUAUAUUGAGUGUGUAAUAAAAAGUAAAUUUUCGGCCCAUCACGUUUCCAACAUAGCCCCAUGCACUUGGCCCUCCAAAUGGGGCAUACCAAGCUAGUGCUUCGACUGUUGAAGACCGAUAAAGACCUGGUUCGCGUCAAAGGAAGGGAAGGGAUGACCCCUUUCCAUUGUGCAGCUGCAGUGGGGAACUCUAAAUCUUUUAUUCCACUUCCUUGAAACUUGCCCUGAAUGCGUUGAGGAUGUCACGGUUCGUAACGAGACUGCAUUACAUCUUGCUCUGAAAAACGACCACACCGACGCUUUUAAUCUCUUACAUGGAUGGCUUCGAAAAAACCGUCGUGGAGGAGGCAAUGGUUUGGAAAGAAAGGUUGUGAAUUGGAGAGAUGAUGAUGAUAACACUGUGUUGCACAUUGCAGCUACAAAGCAACAACAUCAGGUAUAUAUGCAAUAUAAUGAUAAGUUGCGUUCCUUUGAUCAUUUUAUUAAUGAUUAUUUAUAAUAUUCUACGCAGGCAGUACAACUGUUGUUGGAUUCCUUUUAUGGGUUAGAUGCAAACGCUAAGAAUUCGGAAGGCUUGACAGCUCGAGAAAUCAUAGAAAGGGUUGAAAGACAAGGGUUGAACAUGAGUGGCGCCGAAGACGAUGAUACCACCACCGCCAAGAUUGAGCGCAUUAAGAAAAGAACUAGUAGGUCUGAAAGAGCAUUAGUAAAGUUGAUUCGGGCAAGGAAUGGGUUGUCAGAGAACAUGCUCAACGCAACACUGGUGGUAGCGGCGCUGGUCAUAACAGCAAUCUACCAGUCAUCUUUAAGUCCACCAAGAGGUCUUUGGCAAGGUGAUAACACUAGUAUCCCCACCACCACCUCAAACCUUACUACUACUACUAAAUUUAAACUCUUUAACGACAAUUACAGUGAGUAUCGUUUUAAAUUUCUGUUGGGUGAAGAAACAAGGAAAACUGGUACUGCAGUCAUGAAUCCCAACUUGUUUUUAGGGUUUUGGUUUUUCAAUUUUAUAGCAUUUGGGCUUCCAGUUCUUCUAACCGUUUUGCUUUUAUCCAAUGUACCUAGUAUUCUUCUCAUCCCGCUUUAUUAUCUAUCCGUCUCCUACUUUAACUGCAUGACAAUAGUAUCUCCUUCCACGUUUUGGGCAAACCUCAACUUUGUUGUCAUGUGGACAGCCAUUCUUCUCCCGUUGCUCUUAGUUGUUAGAAGCGUAUGGUUAUCGAAGCAGCCAAAGUACAGGGAAAUCAGACAAUUACGCAGACUUUUCCGCAAGUAGAAUAAUGUUGGAAUCAUUCAACGGUUGCGAAUGUCAAUGUAGUUUAUAUGUUCUAUUAUGUUAUGUACUUUUUUCCAUUUUCUCUGGAUUAAUAUCUUUUCUCUUCGGUAAAAAAAUUAUGAAAUUGCUUUGGAUAAAUCUAAUAAAUAAGAUUAGUUUUCCCAACA
rnacentral:lncRNA from 1 species